GGAAUUCAUAGAAAGGUAAUUGUUAGCAGUAAGGCUUUGACAGUGAAGUUGACUGUAUAAAGUUCUGGUAUAUAUUGGCUGCGGAAUGCUCCAAAGAGUAAUAUUGUUGUGUGGAUGUUUUUUAUGAUUAUAUUAUGAUAAUAUUGGCAUAUUCUGCUAGGAAAAAUAGGGCAAAGGGGUCUGCUGUACAUUCAACGUUGAAUCCAGAAACGAAUUCUGAUUCUCCUUCUGUUAGGAUGGGUAGAGCACACUU